GACGAACGCUGGCGGCGUGCCUAACACAUGCAAGUCGAACGGAAAGGCCCUGAGUUUGUGGGGUUCUCGAGUGGCGAACGGGUGAGUAACACGUGAGUAACCUGCCCUUGUCUUUGGGAUAACUUCAGGAAACUGGGGCUAAUACCGGAUAGGAGCUCCUGCUGCAUGGUGGGGGUUGGAAAGUUUCGGCUGUUGGGGAUGGACUGGCGGCUUAUGAGCUUGUUAGUGGGGUAGUGGUUGACCAAGGCUUUGACGGGUAGCCGGCCUGAGAGGGUGACCGGCGACCAUGGUACUGAGGGAGGGCCCAGUGGCGUACGGGAGGCAAUGGGGGGAAAUCUGACACAGUGGGCGCAAGCGUGUGGCGGAAGCGCUCGGUGCGGAAUGCCCGCUUUUGGGGUGAAAACAGCUUUCGGCUGUGACGAAGCGGGAGUGACGGUAAUGGAUAAAGAAGCACCGGCUAACUACGUG
rnacentral:rRNA from 1 species